CACACUGUUACGGGAUUACCUCUAUGUUUGGCUAUGGAUGUUCCUAGUGUGGUUGGAUCCAGAAGAGCGAUUCGGAUGAAUGAGUUGUGAAAACGAGGCGGAUGAUAUGAAGAGGACGUAUACAUUCAAAAGACAUUGUUUUCCCAGUAUCUUCGGUAAUCUAUGCAACAACAGAAUCAUCGCUAGUAAACCCUGAUAUCAUGUCUUCUACAGGAAUUCCUGAAACAACGAAGGCAUCUUCAGCAG